CCGUUCAUCCGAAAUUCAGCGGAAAAACAACGAUUUUAUUAUCAUUGCAGAAAAUGGCGUAAGAGCGGAACGAGUCGUAAUUAUUGCACACCUAUUUAAUUAUGUUCAAGUUUCCUUAGACAGUAAUCCAAAUAUCAGUUUUGUAAAUCACCUGAGUCUUCGCAUUUGCACCUUAACAAAAAAAAAGCAUUUUGAAAUUUGUACAAGGAAACUGAGCGUAUUUUACCAUAUCGAAUCACAGUAGUUGACCAGAAAUUAAAGAUAGCCAAUUAGAUUUUUCUAUUAACCAAAGAAGAAUGAAGCAUAAGAAAAAGUUCUGAGUAAGAGCGCUGUCAUGCCAAAAAACACCAGAAAAUGUAAGAAGAAAGUUAAGAAGACGCAGACCGGGACAUCCGUGCUGUCAGCCUUGUCAGAUGUUACAGUUAAUGAAUUUGCUAACAACCAAGCAAAGAGAAGUGGACACCGAAAGCAGACAAACGUCCAUGUAAUAAUGAAUGAAGUGGAGAGACUGAAAGUGGCCGAGGAUGAUAGGUCCUGGGAUGAAAAGGCUGAUGAUGACGAAUUUGAUGAUGAAGGCAAGGAAGGAGCCAGCGAUGAACAUGGAGGUGCAGGGCGAAGGAGAGGGAAAAGAAAAUACAGUACAAAGGAAACAGAUUCAGAUAUUACAGAGGGUAUUGACUUGCCACUCGAUAUCUGGUUUUUGAUCAGUGAGCAUAUCCGUCCUGAAGAUGUUGGAAGAUUUGGUGCAAUUUGUUAUGCUACUUUUUAUGUGAUAUCCACUGGAAGGUUUUGGAUUACUUUAUAUAAAAGGCACCACAGACUAAUCUCAGAACUCCCACAAGAGCUGACCAUCUGGAACAUGGAACGCCUGAGGGGUCUCAAGGCCAAUGUGAUUCGCGCUCUCUUUUACAUGUACCCUCCAUUCCAUGCUCGAAUUAUAGGAGAAAAGCCCUUGACAGCUGAUCCCACUCGGCUGUUGCGUACUCAGUGUGUGUUGCAAUGGCAUAGUAAAGUGGGCAGCCUAUAUAGAUAUUACUUCAAGUUUAACAAGCAAAUGCAGAAUAAGAAAAGACUCACGUCAGCAAGAGAAGGCUUGCCAAACCUUAUGGCAAUGGAUAGUCUGAUACAUGUUAAUGACAAUGAAGGUUGCUAUAUAAUAGAGGAAAGGUGAAAUCAGGUAACGUCACACUGUUGGGCAGACACCCAUGGAAGAAUUGCAAGAUUAUUGUAACUUACAUGUCUUCAUCAGUUACCCUCUGUUCACAAAAUGAGCUGUUAUGUUUUCUGGUGAUGUGGUACUACACAUCACGUAUUCAUCCCCAACUAUGGAUGAAGCCUGAAUGCUCGGAUCGUCACACUGCCAGUUACACAUGACCACGCAAAGCUAGGCAGCACAACCUAGGAAGAAUUCCAAUCACUCUUACCAUGCCAUCACAAGCUGCAUAUGUGCCGUCCCCAUGGUGAUGGGCGAAUUCCUCCACCAUGCCGGUCUUGGGGUGUCAGCUGACCUGCGCUCCCACCGUUUACACCUUUCACUUGCUCCAGCUCACCUCCUCCCCAGC